rnacentral:misc_RNA from 1 species
CCGAGUACCGGGUCCUUGGGCCCUUACUCCCACCCUUUGUGUACCUACCGAUUUUCGUUGCCUCGGCGGGGUCGAUCCCCAGGGCCUACCGGCCCUGUGGGGGACUUGCCGGGGGGACACCCCUAAACUCUUGUCAACAGUGACGUCUGAGAAAAAAACAAACUAGUCA